rnacentral:rRNA from 1 species
CCUACGGGAGGCAGCAGUGGGGGAUAUUGGACAAUGGGGGGAACCCUGAUCCAGCGACGCCGCGUGAGUGAAGAAGUAUUUCGGUAUGUAAAGCUCUGUCAGCAGGGAAGAAAGAAAUGACGGUACCUGACCAAGAAGCCCCGGCUAACUACGUGCCAGCAGCCGCGGUAAUACGUAGGGGGCAAGCGUUAUCCGGAAUUACGGGGUGUAAAGGGGGCGUAGACGGUUAAGUAAGUCUGGAGUGAAAGGCCGGGGCCCAACCCCGGGACUGCUCUGGAAACUAUUGAACUUGAGUGCAGGAGAGGUAAGCGGAAUUCCUAGUGUAGCGGUGAAAUGCGUAGAUAUUAGGAGGAACACCAGUGGCGAAGGCGGCUUACUGGACUGUAACUGACGUUGAGGCACGAAAGCGUGGGGAGCAAACAGGAUUAGAUACCCUAGUAGUC